rnacentral:rRNA from 1 species
UUAAAAAGCUCGUAGUUGGAUCUAGGGACGCGCAUUUCAAGCGCCCGUGUCGUCGGGUCAAACCGGCGACUGCGUUGGCGUUGCGGGCUCGGUCCGUCGGUGCUCACAAAAGCAUCGGCGUGUCAACCGGCCCGCCCGUCCCCUCCUUCUGGAUUCCCGUUCCUGCUAUUGAGUUAGUGGGGACGUCACAGGGGGCCCAUCGUCGUGUCCAUGCAAAUGGCGCACGGCGGUGGGUCCCUGGGGCCCAGAUCGUUUACCGUGAAAAAAUUAGAGUGUUCAAAGCAGGCAGAUCCAAUUUUCUGCCACCGAAUACAUUAGCAUGGGAUAAUGGAAUAGGACCCUGUCCUCCUAUUUUCAGUUGGUUUUGGCAGCGCGAGGACUAGGGUAAUGAUUAAUAGGGAUAGUUGGGGGCAUUAAUAUUUAAUUGUCAGAGGUGAAAUUCUUGGAUUUAUGAAAGAUUAACUUCUGCGAAAGCAUCUGCCAAGGAUGUUUUCAUUAAUCAAGAACGAAAGUUAGGGGAUCGAAGACGAUCAGAUACCGUCGUAGUCUUAACCAUAAACGAUGCCGACCAGCGAUUAGGAGACGUUGAAUACAAAACACCACCAUCGGCGCGGUCGUCCUUGGCGUGUCUCGGCUUCACGGCCGGGGCGCGCGAGGGCGGUUUAGCCCGGUGGCACCGGUGAAUGACUCCCCUAGCAGCUUGUGAGAAAUCAUAAGUCUUUGGGUUCCGGGGGGAGUAUGGUCGCAAGGCUGAAAC